UACGUAGGGGCGAGCGUUAUCCGGAAUUAUUGGGCGUAAAGGGUUCGCAGGCGGCCUUGUAAGUCAGAUGUGAAAGACAGCGGCUUAACCGUUGUAAGCAUUUGAAACUGCAGGGCUUGAGUACAGGAGAGGAAAGCGGAAUUCCUAGUGUAGCGGUGAAAUGCGUAGAUAUUAGGAGGAACACCAGUGGCGAAGGCGGCUUUCUGGACUGAUACUGACGCUGAGGAACGAAAGCGUGGGGAGCAAACAGGAUUAGAUACCCGUGUAGUCCCUGA
rnacentral:rRNA from 1 species